rnacentral:tRNA from 1 species
GGCGAAGUAGCUCAGUUGGUUAGAGCGAACGGUUCAUACCCGUUAGGUCACCAGUUCAAGUCUGGUCUUCGCUACCA